UAAGCCCUUAACCCUAAUAAGCUCUAAGCUUUAAUAAGGAUUAAGCCCUAAGCUUUAAACUCUAAUAAGCUCUAAGCUUUAAACUCUAAUAAGCCCUAAGACUUAAAAAGUUAUAAGUCGUAAGCCCUAGACUCUAAGUCCUAUCCCCUAACUCCUAAGCCCUAAAUCCAAAUAAGCCCUAAGCCGUAAGUCCCCAUAAGCCAUAAGCCCUAAGUCUUAAUAAACCCAAGACCCUAAGUCCUAAAUCCUAAACUCUAAGUCUUAAGCCCUAAU
rnacentral:lncRNA from 1 species